rnacentral:rRNA from 1 species
ACAAGACGGUGGGAGGCGAUGUGGGUUUAAUUCGAAGCAACGCGAAGAACCUUACCAGGCCUUGACAUGCAGAGAACUUUCCAGAGAUGGAUUGGUGCCUUCGGGAACUCUGACACAGGUGCUGCAUGGCUGUCGUCAGCUCGUGUCGUGAGAUGUUGGGUUAAGUCCCGUAACGAGCGCAACCCUUGUCCUUAGUUACCAGCACGUUAUGGUGGGCACUCUAAGGAGACUGCCGGUGAUAAACUGGAGGAAGGUGGGGAUGACGUCAAAUCAUCAUGCCCCUUAUGACCUGGGCUACAAACGUGAUACAAUGGCUGGAACAAAGGGAUGCGAAGCAGUGAUGUGGAGCGAAACCCAUAAAAACAGUCUCAGUUCGGAUUGAAGUCUGCAACUCGACUUCAUGAAGUCGGAAUCGCUAGUAAUCGCGGAUCAGAACGCCGCGGUGAAUACGUUCUCGGGGUUU